rnacentral:misc_RNA from 1 species
GAUGAAGAACGCAGCGAAAUGCGAUAAGUAAUGUGAAUUGCAGAAUUCAGUGAAUCAUCGAAUCUUUGAACGCACAUUGCGCCCCCUGGCAUUCCGGGGGGCAUGCCUGUUCGAGCGUCAUUACAACCCUCAAGCUCUGCUUGGUAUUGGGCUCUGCUGGGACCGGCAGGCCUUAAAAUCAGUGGCGGCGCCACUCGGCUUCAAGCGUAGUAAUUCUUCUCGCUUCGGAGACCCGGGUGCGUGCUAGCCAGCAACCCCCAACUUUCUUAGGUUGACCUCGGAUCAGGUAGGGAUACCCGCUGAACUUAAGCAUAUCAAUAAGCGGAGGA